GGGAAAGUGGCUGAGUGGUUUAAGGCGACAGACUGUAAAUCUGCUGGCAGACGUCGACACAGGUUCGAAUCCUGUCUUUCCCA
rnacentral:tRNA from 1 species